UUUUCCAUGUACCGUUCGAAAUGGCCUCACAUGGCCGUGUGCCAGGUCGUGUGCUAGACUGUGUAACUGCUUGACUUGCAACCCUUGGAAAGCUACAGGGGACACACGGCCGUGUGUCAUGCACGGUUGAGACACACGCCCGUGUCUCUGGCCGUGUGGAUGAAAAAUAGGUCAUUUCCAAGCUAUUUUUCUCACCCAUUC
rnacentral:lncRNA from 1 species